GCGGGACGGUUUGGCGCCAAACAUCGCGAGAUUACCUUUUGCGCCUGUGAUGCCUUCAGGUGCACUGGGAUUUCUCUGUUUCGGAGGCGACGAGGAAGUCUGCUCUACACUAUUUGAGUGAAAUAAGGUGGACUACAAAAACAGUUCAUUUUUUUGGCGGGUGGGGUAUUUUUUGUAUUUCAAAAGGAAUGUAUUUCCUGCGCUCUGUUGUUGGGUCCUUCAUGUGCUCCCAAAGUGCGUGGACGCUGAAUGAGUGGUAGCAGGCCCGAUGAGUCAGGGGCAGUGAAUACAACACUGGAAGAACAUUCAAGAAAGAACACGCUGGGUCUACGACUACCUUUGUCCUACAGGUCACCAGGGUUAACUGAUUUGCUGAUGGGUGCAGCCAGCCUGCCAGAUCCAGGUGACCCAAAGAGGCAGCGAUGUACAGCGCCACACGCAGCUGAAACCUGGUGGCUCUGAACUGUCAAUCUCUGGCCCAGGAGGCAGCCUCGGAGGAACUCCACCCACCCAUCCCAUGUGUCCAACCGUAGAGUAGUGCCUAUGUUAAAAAAACUGUAUGGAUUUCAAAAUGAAUAAAUUCUCCUGCAUUAAC